UAGUACUGAUCUCAUUUUUUUUUGACCUGCCUGCCUUUUAGUCAUACCUCGGGUCAGAAGUGGCUUUUUCCCCUGAGUGUUUCUCUGUGUGAGGGGGCGGACAGAGAAGACUUAAAGGCGGAUGGCAGCACCUAUCCUUACUGCUUAGAUCACCUUCAGAGCACUUCACACCUGCAGGUGCUACUGAAAAAAAUGCUGACUUGCAAGUGGACUGGAUACAGGAACGUGAAAUGGAGGAAAACGCUAAAAUGUUCUUCCAGCCUGGCUGCAGCUGGAAUGAUUUCAGCAUGCUUUGCCACGAGGCAGACAGAAGAUUACGUUCUGCCCUCGCUAAUGUGACUAAGGAGAGGAGAGAGGAGGAUACGCUUCCUGUCCCUGGGUCAAAAGGGGAAAUAUUUUUGGCUGAAAUUCUGUUCUCGUGCGCCAAGCUGCAGAGACUUUCACCAUAGCCACCGGUACAGAACAGAUGAAGCUGGGACUCGAUGCAUGUGGAAGCCUCCUGUUUUUCUUUAAACUGUUUCAGGGGUCAAACUUCAGCUGGCGGAAGCAAGGGCAGUUCUGCUACGCUGCAGAAAAGCAACAGUUACACCUGCUAAAAAUGAAUCCUUGGUUUAAUGAGGCUCAGGGAAGUGAAAACAAUGCAAAGAGACUUGAGGUAAUCGCUCAGGGGAUGCAAUUUUUGUCUUUUGUAUGCCUAAGCAAAUAUUCCAAAAAAUAUCUGAAGUCGUAAUAACAAUUAAUGCACCCGUUAAUUGCAUUUGGAAAGUAAUUUUGGAGACAUGUGGAGAACAGAAGGAGAAAGAUGGGAGCUUCUAAAAAAUGCAUGAGGAGCCAAGGCUGCAGAAGCAGAAUUGCUUAUUAAGAAAAGCAGAGUCACCCUAUGGUAUUUAUGAAGUAAUGUAUGUUGCUGUGUCCUUCAGAGGUGAUUUGUUUUAUCAUCACCAGGUGGUUCUUCUAUCCCAACGCAGCUGAAAGGCAGGAUACAUGCACAUUAAUCAUGCAUUAGACUGUUAAACUCCUUUAAGUAAAUAUUGUCCUGGGAUGUGAACGGCUGAGAUCUGUGGAGGCUCCCAGUUAGGAUAAGUCACUUUAAAGAAUUAAAGUACAUUUGUGAAAGCAGCUAAACUUUAGUAUUUUUUUCUCUGUGGGGACAUGCCGCACUGAUUUAUUUCACUAACUUCUGACAAAUGGAAAUAUCACUCUCCCAAAAUAAUUAGAACCUUCAGUGUCCUAAUGCGUGCAGCAAUAUCAGCUGGGAUUUGCUGACCUUUGGAUAAUGGAGCUCACGAUGUUUAAUGUCACAAGCGAUGCCCCUAGAGAGACUUGGCAACAAAGGUUAAGAGGGAAUGGGGGUCUUGAAGUUCAGAAUAUGUGGGGAGAAGCAUAGUUGGUACCUCAACGUUCAGGUUUAUGCUCCAAUUUCACCAUCAUAUGCGUGUCUGAAAAGUGAUGGCAUGGCAUUUUGCUCUCCCCAGUGCCUUAAUGUAUAGCUGGCGGAAUGAAUUGCCUUUCCAGAAGAAAUCCUGCCAUCGUUAUAAGUAGUAAAGGUGCAUUAGUAAUUAUGAUAUGAACUGUUCAUAUUUUAUGCAUGGUGUUUCAUUAACACCAUUUCAUUAACACGUGUGGUAUUGUGAUGUACCUUUUGUUCCUGUGAAAUAAGAGUGAGCAAGGCCAGACCAUCUCCUAAAAGUCCUAAUUCAGGAAAAAAAAUAAAAAUAAAAAUAAAACUAAGGCUGUACUUGCAUCUCUGCAGUACAUGGAUGUGAUAAUACUAGAAGCAGAGGAUUGCUGCUUGUUGUACAGCUUCCCUAGGAUGCACCGUGGUUUUUCUGGCAAG